UCGAAUCAUGCUUGAUACAAGAAAUCUACAAGUCUGAAUCAGCACUGGGACUUUUUAAAUAACUGGAUAAUAAUCAUUGGUCCCAAGUGUUCUUUUCUUUACUAGAUAAUAAUCGUUGGUCCCAAGUGUUCUUUUCUUUACUUGUUCAAACGAGACCAUGAUUAUUAACACACUCCCGUGUCCAAUGUAGGGAAAGUCAAUACAAAGGCAUUGAAAAUUGGAAUAAAAAAUGAAGUUGAACUGAAAAAUGAAAAGGUCCAACAUAACAAACCAAAACAUCAUCAAACCAUCAAAAUAAAGCAAGAAAUGUUUAUUUACAACACCAACAACUACGUAUAAAGUACAACCAAACAAUAAAGGGAUUAAACCCUAAAAAACAUAUCUCCAAUAAUAGAUACAAGCAAAAUGAGCUCUCAAAAUUUAUUUACAAAAUCAACAACCAUGUGGAAGCAAGUCAGGUCUCUGCAAAACUCUACGAGCAUGGAGAAAUUAUUAUAAAAGCACGAGAUCACUGAUCAAUUCCCAUGUGAUGAAUAACUAAUUUUUUGAAUUAUGAAAAAAACGGAUUAAUCUGUCAUGUAAAAAUCUAACUGGACCAAUCUGAAGAGUAUAAUAGUUUUGAUGCAGAGUGUGUGGGAACCCAGAGUUAGGCUUCAGAAGAAUAGCCACUUGGAACAGGUGGGGUCGUGGAAGUUGAGCUGAGAACAGCGGCGCCGCCAAUCUGUUCACGGCGCUCCUUGACUUUCCGACCAGAACACCGCAGCGCCGCCACGACGCUCUUUAUUACCAUGAUCAUGAUUCGCCCUCUCUUCGGCACGACCAUGCUAGUGCCCUUUUGUUUCGCGUACGUUAGAUCCGUCAGAACUGAAAUUGGAACAAAGAUUGAGGCAAGUGGAAGAAGCAGAGCAUGGAACAAUUGGUGAGAUAUGAGUUUUGUGUGUCGUGGAAAGUGUUUGUGGUGGGUGAGAAGCAAGAUUUUGAGUGACUUAUAUAGAGUGCUGAAAUGCCAAUGUACACAUGUUACUGUAGCAAUCUUGGAACUCACGCUUCUCAUUUUUUUUCUUUUUUUUUUCUUUUUUCUUUACUGGUUAAAUUGUGCUUGCAUGGCAUGUUGCUCAGUUUUGGUUUCACAUUGCCAGCGUCCAUACAGCUAUUCGAAAGAAACCCGAUUGACACGUGUCACACUGAAUUUUUCGGAAAAAAAAAUAACACCCAAUAAAACAUUGUCGCGUGGAGCAUUCUAAUGAACACACAUGACACUCAUUAAAGGCUCAAUUUCACUCACUCUACCAGAAACUCUAAGGCAUUUUCUUCCUGCACCCCUAUAUUUUUCUUCCUGCACCUUACAAUGUUGUGUAAAGAUAAAACUAGUCCUUAUACAAAACUGCACACUUAUUUGUUUGUUUGCAUUUUGGAUUAUAUAAUCCGGUAAAUUUUUGGAUUGGCGCUUUCUGUAAAAUUUUGGAUUAGCGUGUCCAGUAACCUCCGAGACUGGUACUUUCGAUAGUACAUGAAUGACAGUGUUAAUCCAAAAUAAAAAAUGCAAAAUAUUCAUAAUUAAAAAAAUCAUUAUGGAUCCCUCAUCCAUAAAUCAAAAUAUGCAUUACGGAUUCAAAAAUCCGUAAUUGAAAAAAAUCAUUCAGGAUCCACCAAUUCGUAAUAGAAAUUAGAUUUACAGAUUCAUCAAUUCGGAAAUCAAUAAUUUAUGCAAACUUUGUUUCUAGAACACUCUCUCAUCCAGAAAAGUAACAUGAUUUACUUCCGGAUUGAUGAAUCCGUAGCAUACUCCCAGAUCCCGAUUUCAAAUAAAAGGUGAAGGUCAGUUUUGGAAUUUAGAAAAUUGUGGGGGUGCAAAAUGUAGGGGUGCAUGAAGAAACUGCCAAACUCUAAUACCUCUCAAACUUUCUGCAGAAUACUCUCUCCAAAACUCUCACACUUCUCUCCUCUUUACUCUAUUUUACACUACUUUCUGGUCUAUGUAGCAUAAACACUAACACAGACACUGAUACGACACAGACACAGAUACAAAGAUAUAUAUAAUCUUUAAAAUACAGGACAUGGGGACAUAGAUUUAUAUAUUAUAUAAUUAUAAAUUAUAUAAAUUAACAAUAAAGAUUUAUGUGCAUAAGUAUGUUUCAAUUUUUUUUUUUUAGCAGAAAGAUGUUUCACAUGAUUAAUUCAAAAUGAUUUGUUCCUUAUUUUUUAUAAUUAUAAUAAAAUUUUAUACAAUAAGUUUGAGGUUUUAGAAAAUUAAUGUAUUUAUCCUUUUUUAAAUUAUGUUAAAAUCGUGUUAAAAUUGUCAGAAAUCCAACAAAUAUGUUUUUUAAUUGGGCACUUCAUCGAUAGUGUCCUACAAGUGUCCUAUGAGUGUCAGUGUCCGAUACAUGUGUCUAACACGAACACGACAUUUAAAAGGUGUAUCCGAACCUCAAAACCCUAAUUUGUCUUUCACAAAUUCGGUAACUAGGCAUUCUAAAAAUUCGAAUAACCACACAUGUUCUUUUGAAUAGUUUUCAUUUGGCACGUAUGUUUGAAUUUUGAAAUGACAAUGGUGAUGGAUUUUCCUGUAUAUAUUGAUUGUUCUUCAUUCAUUGUUUUGAUUUUGUUUUUUUUCUUUCCAUUUUCCAUGAAACGGGUAAUUUUUUAUACCUUAAUCUCAUUUUAUCAUUACGUUUUCCAUUUUUCUUUUAUCAUUUUUGUUUUUUUUUUCAUCAUUUCUGUAUUGUAAAAUGUUCAUUGCAUUAUUUCGUUUUCUGCAAUUUCUUUUCCUUUUCUGCUUACUGUAUUUUUUUUUAUAUUAAGUGUUUAUUCUUCGUUUGAGAGGAUUCUAUAUCAGUUAUGUUCAAAUUGUUCCCUCUAUUUAUCUCAGUUUUCCAUAUGUAUCGUGAAAUCUUCAUUAUAUAUUUUUUUUUCUGCAAUUUUUUUGCUCUUUUCUAUUCAGAUAUUUUGCUCCAUUUAUUUUAGUUUUCCCAUCUGGAUUGUGAAAUCUUUAUUAUAUAUAUAUUUUUUUUGCAAUUUUGUUUUGUUUUUCAUUCUUUUUUUAUAUUAAGUGUUUAUCCUCGUUUUCCAAUAUUCUAUAUCAGUUAUGUUCAGAUUCUUUGCUUCACUUUUCCAAUAAUAUUGAUAUUAAUGAAAUAUUAAUUUUGAGUAUUUUAUGCAUAAGACGACAGUUUUAUUUUGUAUAGGUGUGUUUUCCUUUUAUAUAAAGUCUAUACUUAUUAAAUUACACUGUUCAUAAUUAAAAUUUAAACAUUGGAUUUUAAUAGAGUAAAUUGAGAUUUUUUUUUCAGAUGACACAUUAAAUUUAGUGGUAUUAGUAUUUUAUAUAGUGAUUUUUUUUAAAGCUGGUAUACCUUUGUUUGUUAAUUGAAAAUAAAAGAUAGUAAAUUUUUUUAUAGUUUUUUGUAUUUUAUUUUCUUUGAUCCUGUAUUUUAUACAGAAUAAAUGAGAUUGCAGGUGAGAACUUUUCAAUAACCAAAUUAAACAAAUGGAAUAAAUAUUUUAUUUUUAUUAUUUUGUUAGAUGUUUUUAAAUAUUAAUUAAUCUCUAUUUUUUAUUAUUGUCGAAUCAUACUUGAUACAAGAAAUCUACAAGUCAGAAUCAGAACUGGGACUUCUUAUAAACUGGAUAGUAAUCACUGGUCUCAAGUGUUCUUUUCUUUACUAGAUAAUAAUCGUUGGUACCAAGUGUUCUUUUCUUUACUUGUUCAAACGAGACUAUGAUUAUUAACACACUCCCGUGUCCAAUGUAGGGUCAGUCAAUACAAAGGUAUUGAAAAUUGGAAUAAAAAUGAAGUUGAACUGAAAAAUGAAAAGGUCUAACGUUACAAAACCAAAUCAUCAUCAAACCAUCAAAAUAAAGCAAGAAAUGUUUAUUUACAACACCAACAACUAGGUAUAAAGUACAACCAAACAAUAAAGGGGUUAAACCCUAAAAAACAUAUCUCCAAUGAUAGAUACAAGCAAAAUGAGCUCUCAAAAUUUAUUUACAAAUCAACAACCAUGUGGAAGCAAGUCAGGUCUCUGCAAAACUCUACGUGCAUGGAGAAGUUAUUAUAAGCACGAGAUCACUGAUCAAUUCCCAUGUGAUGAAUAAUUAAUUUUUUGAAUUAUGAAAAAACCGAUUAAUCUGUCAUGUAAAAAUCUAACUGGACCAAUCUGAAAAGUAUAAUAGUUUUGAUGCAGAGUGUGUGGGAACCCAGAGUUUGGCUUCAGAAGAGUAGCCACUUGGAACAGGUGGGGUCGUGGAAGUUGAGCUGAGAACAGCGGCGCCGCCAAUCUGUUCACGGCGCUCCUUGACUUUCCGACCAGAACACCGUAGCGCCGCCACGAUGCUCUUUACUACCAUGAUCAGGAUUCGCCCUCUCUUCGGCACGACCAUGCUAGUACCCUUUUGUUUCGCGUACGUUAGAUCCGUCAGAACUGAAAUUGGGACAAAGAUUGAGGCAAGUGGAAGAAGCAGAGCAUAGAACAAUUGGUGAGAUAUGAGUUUUGUGUGUCGUGGAAAGUGUUUGUGGUGGG
rnacentral:lncRNA from 1 species